UGCAACACCUGACUAUUUAGUGGGGGCUCUGACCUCUUUUUGCUUUGAUUGUCAAAUAAUAAAAAUGACAACAGCCAACACAACAAUAGCUGUCCAGUGUGAAUGAAACAAAAUGAUGCCUGUAUAUUUUUU